UGAUUAGGGCAUGUGCUUAAGUGGCUCCUUGAGUUGGAGCCUCUGGCUUUGAACAGGCACUCCCAUUCUCUGUGUGUUAUGCAGACAGAACUAACUAAAUACUCGCUUGUUUUCUAUAGCACUGACCAGAACCACCUCAAGCACCAGGGCAGCAGACACAAGCAGGAAAAUUGACUCUGAUCAUCCCUGGGGUCGUUUAACUAAAACACACAUUUCGGUCGAGCCAAGUGUUCACCAGCGCUUUUCAACUCCCCUGGUGUCAAAACAAUUAGCAGAUCACAGCAGCACCGACUCGCUGGUGCUGCAAUGGAAGCAUCUGGCCAGCACAUGGAGACGCAAUGCCAGCACAGACAAAUGUGACCAGAAGGAAUCUGACACAACCAACCCUUCCUUUGCAAUCAACGUGGGAUCCAAAACAAACCUUCGGCGCUCUCGGCAUCGCUGCCCAGGGAACCAGGCAUCCUGCAAAUAAACACUGAAUUGCAAAU
rnacentral:lncRNA from 1 species